UACGGAGGGUGCGAGCGUUGUCCGGAAUCACUGGGCGUAAAGGGCGCGUAGGCGGCCUGAUAAGUAGGGGGUGAAAUCCUGCGGCUUAACCGCAGGGCUGCCUUCUAAACUGUCAGGCUUGAGCACAGUAGAGGCAGGUGGAAUUCCCGGUGUAGCGGUGGAAUGCGUAGAGAUCGGGAAGAACAUCAGUGGCGAAGGCGGCCUGCUGGGCUGUUGCUGACGCUGAGGCGCGAAAGCGUGGGGAUCAAACAGG
rnacentral:rRNA from 1 species